rnacentral:rRNA from 1 species
CCUACGGGAGGCAGCAGUGGGGAAUAUUGCAAAAUGGGGGAAACCCUGAUGCAGCGACGCCGCGUGAAGGAAGAAGGAUUUCGGUAUGUAAACUUCUAUCAGCAGGGAAGAAAAUGACGGUACCUGACUAAGAAGCCCCGGCUAACUACGUGCCAGCAGCCGCGGUAAUACGUAGGGGGCAAGCGUUAUCCGGAUUUACUGGGGGUAAAGGGAGCGUAGGCGGUGCAGCAAGUGAGAAGUGAAAGCCCGGGGCUCAACUCCGGGACUGCUUUUGAAACUGUUGAACUAGAUUGCAGGAGAGGUAAGUGCAAUUCCUCGUGUAGCGGUGAAAUGCGUAGAUAUUAGGAGUCACACCAGUGGCGACGGCGGCUUACUGGACUGUACAUGCCGCUGAGGCUCGAACGCGUGGGGAGCAAAC